UCGUUGCAGACCACCAUAUUCAGGCAACGGUUAUACCUGCAACGACAUUGUAUGCGGGCCCCCUGCCAAAAUGAUCGAAGGACUUGGAUGCGUGAUUCCUGUGAGGGAAAGCAUGAUAUGGACCAGAGCAAGAGAUUACUGCUACCAAUUAGGAUUUAGACUCCUUGAGGGGAUCACGAAUACCGACCAGCUAAAUCAGUUAAAGGAGCACUUUGACCGGGGUGUCUUCAGUUUCCCACAAACAGCACAUGACGUGUGGUUAGGAAUCAAAGACAACAGGUGGGUGGAAGGACCCUAUACCCGAGUCCCACCUAACAUGUGGAACCAAGGUCAGCCUAAUGAAUCGGAUUCCUGUGGGUAUGUUGCUCUGCAGAUAUCGCCCCCUACACUCUGGGAUGGCAAGUGUCUUACGUAUUCAAUACCCUUCUUCUGUCAGGCAAUGCUUGAUUGAGAAAAUAUUUGUAAGCGUGCAGUUGCUUUCAGCUUCGUGGGGAAUUGUUAUUUUCUGACUCUUCAUUUAUACUUAACCCUGCUUGUAUAUCUUAGAAAUCAAUGUUAGCCCAUUUUCAAAUGGGCUAACUGCACCAUCUCAAUUGUAAUUGAGACGGUGCAGUUGUUAUCAAUUUGAAGGAGAAUUG